AGUGGGAUAGCUGGGUCAAAUGGUGGUUCCAUAUUCUAAGGAAUCUCCAUACUACUUUCCAUAUUGGCUGCACCAUUUUGUAGUCCCACCAGGAAU
rnacentral:pre_miRNA from 1 species